rnacentral:lncRNA from 1 species
GGCAACUUGACUAACCAGGUUCAUAAAUUAAUUUCUAUCCCUCUUGUAAGGGAGAAAUCAGCUGCUCCUCGAGGAGAUCCGUCUCCAUCGCUCGUCCGGCUGCAUCCCUUCAUAAAUCUUCCCCAAAAAAACAUCAGCACCUUCUCAGGCUGCCAUCUGUUUAUUUGGUUGGACUUGGAACUUGCUGAAAUGUCUUUCGAUGGAUGAAGCAACGGAGAGUAGAAGAACAGAGCCU